rnacentral:rRNA from 1 species
UGGGGAAUAUUGGACAAUGGGGGCAACCCUGAUCCAGCAAUGCCGCGUGAGUGAUGAAGGCCUUAGGGUUGUAAAGCUCUUUCGCCCACGACGAUGAUGACGGUAGUGGGAGAAGAAGCCCCGGCUAACUUCGUGCCAGCAGCCGCGGUAAUACGAAGGGGGCUAGCGUUGUUCGGAGUUACUGGGCGUAAAGGGCGCGUAGGCGGCCUGUUAAGUCGGGUGUGAAAGCCCGGGGCUCAACCCCGGAGGUGCACUCGGGACUGGCAGGCUUGAGUGCGGGAGAGGAUGGUGGAAUUCCCAGUGUAGAGGUGAAAUUCGUAGAUAUUGGGAAGAACACCGGUGGCGAAGGCGGCCAUCUGGACCGUUACUGACGCUGAGGCGCGAAAGCGUGGGGAGCAAACAGGAUUAGAUACCCCCGUAGUCC